rnacentral:lncRNA from 8 species
UACACAAUCAUCUCCACUCUGUCUAGGAGAUGCUCUGUUCAAUCUCUCUCUCUCUCUCUCUCUCUCUCUCUCUCUCUCUCUCUCUCUCUCUCUCUCUCUCGCUCUCAAAGUUAUUUCUUUCCCUUUCUGUGUUUUCUUAAUAUUUUUUUCUCCUAUAUAAAUUGUCUUGGUUCUUUCUUUGCCAUCCUCCUGAAUGUUAAGGCUUCUCUUCUCUAUUGCAUUCAUUCCCUCUGGCUGUAUCUCUCCCCCUCUCUUCUCUUCUCUUCUCUAUCUCCCCCCUCUUCUCUUCUCUGGCUGUAUAUCUCCCCUCUCUUCUCUGCUCUGGCUGUAUCUCCCCCCUCUAAGCUCUUCUCUGGCUGUAUCUCUCCCCCUCUCUUGUCUUCUCUUCUCUAUCUCCCCCUCUCUUCUCUUCUCUGGCUGUAUCUCUCCCCCUCUCAGCUCUUCUCUGGCUGUAUCUCCCCCCUCUCUUCUCUUCUCUGGCUGUAUCUCCCCCCUCUCUUCUCUUCUCUGACUGUAUCUCUCCCCCUCUCUUCUCUUCUCUGGCUGUAUCUCUCCCCCUCUCUUCUCUUCUCUGGCUGUAUCUCUCCCCCUCUCUUCUCUUCUCUGGCUGUAUCUCUCCCCCUCUCUUCUCUUCUCUGGCUGUAUCUCUCCCCCCUCUCUUCUCUUCUCUGGCUGUAUCUCUCCCCCUCUCUUCUCUUCUCUGGCUGUAUCUCCCCCCUCUCAGCUCUUCUCUGGCUGUAUCUCCCCCCUCUCAGCUCUUCUCUGGCUGUAUAUCUCCCCUCUCUUCUCUGGCUGUAUCUCUCCCCCUCUCUUCUCUUCUCUGGCUGUAUCUCCCCCCUCUCUUCUCUUCUCUGGCUGUAUCUCCCCCCUCUCUUCUCUUCUCUGGCUGUAUCUCCCCCUCUCUUAUCUUCUCUGGCUGUAUCUCUCCCCCGGCUGUAUCUCUCCCCCUCUCUUCUCUUCUCUGGCUGUAUCUCCCCCCUCUCUUCUCUGGCUGUAUCUCCCCCUCUCUUCUCUUCUCUGGCUGUAUCUCCCCCCUCUCUUCUCUUCUCUGGCUGUAUCUCCCCCCUCUCUUCUCUUCUCUGGCUGUAUCUCUCCCCUCUCUUCUCUUCUCUGGCUGUAUCUCUCCCCCUCUCUUCUCUUCUCUGGCUGUAUCUCUCCCCCUCUCUUCUCUUCUCUGGCUGUAUCUCUCCCCCUCUCUUCUCUUCUCUGGCUGUAUCUCUCCCCCUCUCUUCUCUUCUCUGGCUGUAUCUCCCCCUCUCUUCUCUUCUCUGGCUGUAUCUCUCCCCCCUCUCUUCUCUUCUCUGGCUGUAUCUCUCCCCCCUCUCUUCUCUUCUCUGGCUGUAUCUCUCCCCCCUCUCUUCUCUUCUCUGGCUGUAUCUCUCCCCCUCUCUUCUCUUCUCUGGCUGUAUCUCUCCCCCUCUCUUCUCUUCUCUGGCUGUAUCUCUCCCCCUCUCUUCUCUUCUCUGGCUGUAUCUCCGUCCUAAGUGGAUAAAGCUCUCUGCACGGCCAGUCAUUUUCCCCUUCAUUUGCCCUUUUUGCCUAUCUCUUUUCUAG